rnacentral:rRNA from 1 species
GACGAACGCUGGCGGCGUGCUUAACACAUGCAAGUCGAACGGAAAGGCCCUGCUUUUGUGGGGUGCUCGAGUGGCGAACGGGUGAGUAACACGUGAGUAACCUGCCCUUGACUUUGGGAUAACUUCAGGAAACUGGGGCUAAUACCGGAUAGGAGCUCCUGCUGCAUGGUGGGGGUUGGAAAGUUUCGGCGGUUGGGGAUGGACUCGCGGCUUAGCAGCUUGUUGGUGGGGUAGUGGCUUACCAAGGCUUUGACGGGUAGCCGGCCUGCGAGGGUGACCGGCCACAUUGGGACUGAGAUACGGCCCAGACUCAUACGGGAGGCAGCAGUGGGGAAUAUUGCACAAUGGGCGGAAGCCUGAUGCAGCAACGCCGCGUGCGGGAUGACGGCCUUCGGGUUGUAAACCGCUUUCGCCUGUGACGAAGCGUGAGUGACGGUAAUGGGUAAAGAAGCACCGGCUAACUACGUG